CUACGGGCCGCUCCAGUGAGGAAUAUUGCACAAUGGAGGAAACUCUGAUGCAGCAACGCCGCGUGGAGGAUGACGCAUUUCGGUGUGUAAACUCCUUUUAUAUGUCAAGAAAAUGACGGUAGCAUAUGAAUAAGCACCGGCUAACUCCGUGCCAGCAGCCGCGGUAAUACGGAGGGUGGCAAGCGUUACUCGGAAUCACUGGGCGUAAAGGACGCGUAGGCGGGAUAUCAAGUCAGGUGUGAAAUCCUACAGCUUAACUGGAGAACUGCACUUGAAACUGGUAACCUAGAGUAUGGGAGGGGGAGAUAGAAUUAGUGGUGUAGGGGUAAAAUCCGUAGAUAUCACUAGGAAUACCUAAAGCGAAGGCGAUCUCCUGGAACAUAACUGACGCUAAGGCGUGAAAGCGUGGGGAGCAAACAGGAUUAGAUACCCGAGUAGUC
rnacentral:rRNA from 1 species